UAUUGGGAUCAUAACUCAGAUAUUUUUUUAUCAGUCUCUGUCGUUUCCCUCUCUAGAAAGUGCUUAGGGUUUCCUGUUUAUUAUCACUAAUUCAUCUUGUUUUAGUGAUUUGUGUGAGAUCUAGUUAAGUGUCUGAUAAUCAUCUGUAGCUGAGGGUUGAGAGUUGUUGAUUCUUGUAUCAUCGACUCAUUCUUUUGUCGUAAUCUUUGGAUCUUUUGGGUGAAUAAUAUUUGGUUUGGGUCUUGUCGAUUAUCAUCUUGAUAUCAUUGUUUUGACAUGGUAUUAGAGCUCCUCUUGUGAGCUCUUGGGUUUGUUCCAUUCCGCUGUGUUUUCUGAAGUUAGAUCUGUAUAGAUCUGACUUGAUCUGUUGGAUGAGGUAUAGAUCUGAGUGAGCCUUGGUAGAUCUUUGAUUUGCCAACUUCAGAUCUAGGGUUUCUUGGGUUAUUCAAGAAGACUGUUGGAAGCUGAACCCCUAAUCUAGGGUUUGGGAAUAUUUUCAAGAAGUCUCUCUAAGUGAAGGUCUGUGUUGGUCUUUGUAACCCUAUAAGGUUACAAAGCAAACCAACCAGUCAGUGUAGCUGAUUCUUCUUAUUAGUGUGUAGCCCUAAGUGAAGGCUACAACCUGAUUGCUUGGAGUUAUACGCUCUUGGUUUGCAGUGACACCUAUGAUUCAACACGGGGCGUGGUCAACUCUAAGAUUCGCAGAAUCUGAGAUAGUACAGCAAGUACAAUUGUCACGGGCCAUGUCGUUGACACAAGGGGUCGUGUUAGUACAAGACCUGACACUACAAUUAAUGAAGAAGAGAGAGAAGGAAGGCCACGGGGCCGUGUGAAUAGUCUGACUUCAGCUAUAAAUAAGGGUGCUUAGUUUCAUUCUAACUCAUCACUUGGCAAACCACUUCUCUCACACUCGUCACCACUCCACCACCACUACAACACCAACACCCACCACCAUCAUCCAUCUUCCAUCUUUUAGAGUGUGUAGUAGUCUCAGGAUCCAAGAUCAAUCGUAAGAGUUCUUGUCAGAAAGGUCAUGCUUGGCUAAAUUCUUACAUCACUUGGUGAAGACAAAUCUUUUAUGUAUUACUUUUUGAUUUCCAACCUUUGGCACCUUUUUAUUUGGGUGUGUAUUAAUGACUUUAAUAACUAUUUUUCUAUAUUGAAGGUGAAUUUAAUUUAAUCA